rnacentral:rRNA from 1 species
AGAGUUUGAUCAUGGCUCAGAUUGAACGCUGGCGGCAGGCCUAACACAUGCAAGUCGAACGGUAACAGGAAGCAGCUUGCUGCUUUGCUGACGAGUGGCGGACGGGUGAGUAAUGUCUGGGAAACUGCCUGAUGGAGGGGGAUAACUACUGGAAACGGUGGCUAAUACCGCAUAACGUCGCAAGACCAAAGAGGGGGACCUUCGGGCCUCUUGCCAUCAGAUGUGCCCAGAUGGGAUUAGCUAGUUGGUGAGGUAACGGCUCACCAAGGCGACGAUCCCUAGCUGGUCUGAGAGGAUGACCAGCCACACUGGAACUGAGACACGGUCCAGACUCCUACGGGAGGCAGCAGUGGGGAAUAUUGCACAAUGGGCGCAAGCCUGAUGCAGCCAUGCCGCGUGUAUGAAGAAGGCCUUCGGGUUGUAAAGUACUUUCAGCGGGGAGGAAGGUGUUGCGGUUAAUAACCUCAGCAAUUGACGUUACCCGCAGAAGAAGCACCGGCUAACUCCGUGCCAGCAGCCGCGGUAAUACGGAGGGUGCAAGCGUUAAUCGGAAUUACUGGGCGUAAAGCGCACGCAGGCGGUCUGUCAAGUCGGAUGUGAAAUCCCCGGGCUCAACCUGGGAACUGCAUUCGAAACUGGCAGGCUUGAGUCUUGUAGAGGGGGGUAGAAUUCCAGGUGUAGCGGUGAAAUGCGUAGAGAUCUGGAGGAAUACCGGUGGCGAAGGCGGCCCCCUGGACAAAGACUGACGCUCAGGUGCGAAAGCGUGGGGAGCAAACAGGAUUAGAUACCCUGGUAGUCCACGCCGUAAACGAUGUCUACUUGGAGGUUGUGCCCUUGAGGCGUGGCUUCCGGAGCUAACGCGUUAAGUAGACCGCCUGGGGAGUACGGCCGCAAGGUUAAAACUCAAAUGAAUUGACGGGGGCCCGCACAAGCGGUGGAGCAUGUGGUUUAAUUCGAUGCAACGCGAAGAACCUUACCUGGUCUUGACAUCCACGGAAGUUUUCAGAGAUGAGAAUGUGCCUUCGGGAACCGUGAGACAGGUGCUGCAUGGCUGUCGUCAGCUCGUGUUGUGAAAUGUUGGGUUAAGUCCCGCAACGAGCGCAACCCUUAUCCUUUGUUGCCAGCGGUCCGGCCGGGAACUCAAAGGAGACUGCCAGUGAUAAACUGGAGGAAGGUGGGGAUGACGUCAAGUCAUCAUGGCCCUUACGACCAGGGCUACACACGUGCUACAAUGGCGCAUACAAAGAGAAGCGACCUCGCGAGAGCAAGCGGACCUCAUAAAGUGCGUCGUAGUCCGGAUUGGAGUCUGCAACUCGACUCCAUGAAGUCGGAAUCGCUAGUAAUCGUGGAUCAGAAUGCCACGGUGAAUACGUUCCCGGGCCUUGUACACACCGCCCGUCACACCAUGGGAGUGGGUUGCAAAAGAAGUAGGUAGCUUAACCUUCGGGAGGGCGCUUACCACUUUGUGAUUCAUGACUGGGGUGAAGUCGUAACAAGGUAACCGUAGGGGAACCUGCGGUUG